rnacentral:miRNA from 1 species
UUACCUUACUAUAGCACAUGCCUCCUGUCUGCCCGUGCUCCUCAUCUGCUUUUCACAGACUUGCCCAGGGCAAGUCGGUGAAAAGCAGAUGAGGAGCACAGGCAGACAGGAGGCAUACUUCCAC